CUCCUGAGUAGCUGGGACUUCAGGCACACACCCCAUGCCCAGCUGAUUUUGUAUUUUUAGUAGAGACAGGGUUUCACCAUGUUGGCCAGGCUGAUCUCAAACUCCUGACCUCAGAUGAUCUGCCCACUUCGGCCUCCCACAGUGCCGGGAUUACGGGCAUGAGCCACUGUGCGCAAUCUGAUUUUAGAUUUCAAACAGUAUAGGAUAAAAUUGAGAGAACCAUUUGGCAAUAAAAAAUAUUAAAACUGAGUUUUGCAGAGAAGGGCAUGAUCUAUAUAUCUACUAUUAAAAACCAUUCAACUGAAUAUAUUUCCAUGGCCAUCACACCAUUAUUAAAACCUCUGAAAAGACUAACAUGUACCAGAGUAAAGAUCCACAUAAGACAUGUGUAUUAGGGUUCUCCACAGAGACAGAAACAAUAGGAUAUAUGUAUAUAUAAACCAGAGUUUAUUAAGAAUUGGCUCACACAAUUAGAAGGUGAAGUCCCAUGAUGACUGUCUGCAAGCUGGAGGAGAGAAGCCAGUUGUGUGUCUCAGUCCAAGUCCAAAACCCUUAAAACCAGGGAAGCUGACAACGCAGCCCUGAGUCUGAGGCCAAAGGCUUAAGACCCACUGAGUGGCCACCAGUGCAAGUCCCAGAGUCCAAAGGCUGAAGAGCCUGGAGUCUGAUGUCCAAGGGCAGCAGGAAAGGAAGCGAGCAUCUGGCAUGGGAAGAAGAAAGAUUCAGAAGACUAAGCAAGCAAACGAAUCCCACCUUCCUUUGCCUACUUUGUUCUAGUCAUGCUGGCAGCAAACUGGAUGGUACCACUCACACUGAGGGUGGGUCUAUUUCUCCCAGUCUACUGACUCAAAUGUCAAUCUCCUCUGGCAACACCCUCACAGACACACCCAGAAAAAUACUCUUCCAGCCAUCUAGGCAUCCUUCAGUUCAAUCAAGUUGAUGCCUAAUAUUAUCCAUUACAAUAUGUCUUGAAGGGAACCAUGAAUGUGGCUGUUGGCACCUGGAAUUUUCUGAAAUCCAAUGCUAAGAAGUAGAUUAAGUUGUUGUAAGAGAUGUACCUCCAAAGGAAUCACCAGACUGAAUUAAAAGAGAUUCCAAGUAUUAAAGACUUAAAAGAACCCUUGGAUCACCAAACAUUUAGGGUUGGAAGUGGUCUGAGAAAGCUGUAUGGACAUCAAGCAAAAUGUAUUCCCCGAUGCCUACUUUAGAUGUGUCAGAUAGUAUGAUGGAAAAGAAAGCUGGGGCCAUGGAGAAUUAUGGAGAAUGAGGCUUCUUGCACAGAGCGUAUUUAAGGGCUGAGCUGACAUCCUCAGACCUAGGGUAGACCUCCCAAUAUCGGUUCAAGCUAUUUCAGAGUUGCUAAAGGCCAGUGUCUGCUGUAUAUCUCUCAUUUUUCCUCUUUCCAAAGAGGAAUGUUUGUUGGAGUCAUCUGUUCCCUGUUUCAUCUUUGUAAGUUAGGUGUGUGUGGGGUAGGUAACUUGUCUUUUUACUGCAUAACUCUCCAGAACAAGAGGAGCCACACCCAGGCCCAGUUUAGUGACUGGGUAUCACCUGAACAGGCUGAAUUGUGUCCCCCCAAAUUCAUAUGUUGGAGCCCUAACCUCCAGUGCAUUUGGAGACAGGGCCUUUAGGAGGUCAUUAAGAUGAAGUCAAGUCAUAAGUGGGGGGGCCCUGAUCCAAUAGGACUGGUGUCUUUAUAAGAAGAGGAAGAGACAUCAGUAAUGCAUGCACACAGAAAAAUAAGCCAUGUGAGGACAUGGUGAGAAGACGGCCAUCUGCAAGCUAAGAAGAGCGGACCCAGGAGAAACCAAACCUGAAGAUACCUUGAUCUUGGACUUCCACCCUCCAAAAUUUUGAGAAAGUUUUAUUAAGCUUCUCGGUCUGUGGUAUUUUGUUAUGGGGGCCCUAGCAAACUAACAUGCUCCUGAUGAAGAUAGUACCAUGCAUUACCCAGAGGUACUUGAUCCGUGACUGAAUGAGACUUUUGAGUUGUCUCUCCUGGGGAGAGAAUAAAUGAAUUUUGCUCAAGAAAGAAACACUGAACUGAUCAUUUGGUGACUGGAGAGGUGGAUUGUAGCUACAUGAGGACUCCAGACAUUCACCAAUAUUCCAGCAUGGCAGGAUUAUACUUCCAUGUCCCCUUGGAUGUAGGAAUGGUCAUGUGGCUCACGUGGCCAAUUAAAUGUAAGCAGAAAUGACAGGUGUUUCUUCUAGGCAGAAUCAAUCCCUUAAGAGCUAAAGUACAAUUUGCCGUGUUCCCUUCCUCCUGUCACUGCAAUCUGUGACAUUCCAGAUGGUAGAGUGUGAGCCAGCCUGUGUUCCUGAAUGCAGAUGACAUGGAGCAGAGUUCCAGCCAAUCUGCAAUAGUUGUGGGCAUGGGUGAGAAAUAAUGUUUAAAGUUAAUGAAUUUUUGGAAUUGUUUAUUACUGUGGCAUAAUCUAGUCUAUUUUGACUGAUCUAAUCAAUAUUAACGGUAGGGAAAAUUUCCAAAAUCCUCAUAGAAUUCAGUUGUAUGGUGUGAUCAAUUAAUUCAAUGUAUUGGGUUUUGUCCUUCAGUAAAUAAAGAAGUAGAGCUGACAUCCGAGGAUGCCCACCAAUCACUGAGCUGUGCUUUGUAUUAAAAGGUGAUGCUAUUGAAUCUCUGUCAGAAGAACAUGCUUUAAGUUAAUUUGUCAGUAGUGGUGAUGGAUUCUCUUAAAACCAUUCAUGGCUCUCCACUCGGCUGCCUCUAGUAAGGUAAGGGUUAUAUAUUCAUCAGAGCCAAGCCUGAGCCUCAGAUCCACAAUGUCAGUUCCAUUCGCUUUGGACUGCAACAGAUGAGCAGGAAGAAUUGAUACUAAGAAGGCAGAGUCCUCCAGUGGAUCUUUAGAGCAUGUUUAGCUUGAGCAAACAUGAACCACAAACCAGGAACAAGGGCAGCCAUCAACAGUUGUAAAAUCGAGGUAUAGUGACCGGAGAAAUACCUGCUGCAUACAUUUUUAAGUAAUAAGAUUUAUAAAAAACUUUUAGCACAUGUAAUUCCACUAGCUUAUUGAUAAAAUUCUAAGAAUAUAGUCUGGUAUACUGCUAUAAUAAAAAGUUAAGAUUAGCUUAAAAGAUUCUAUAGAAUGGAAUACAUUUUUGUCCAUUGUAUGGUUGAAUGUUUGCUCUCUCUAACAAUACUUCAGAAAGCAAAGGACCUCAAGGAUGUGUGUGUGUGUGUGUGUGUGUGUGUGUGUGUGUGUGUGAGGGGGUGGGGAGAGAUUGAAGAGGGAACUCUUGGGAAGGAUUGCAUAUGAGGGAGAAGGUAGCACCGAAGUCUAAAAGCAUUGUCCCUUUCCUCAAGAAGCUUCUGGAAGAUGUCUUCUGCCACAUUUGCUCAAGAAACUAUUUUGUGCAGUGUGAUCAUGUCUCCCCUGCCACAACUGGUUGGCUGAAGAGGGCUCUUGACCCAAAUUGGGCCCUUCCCUAGAUUUUUUUACCCAGUGUUUACAGAGUUGAAUCAGUCUCUAUGUAGUGGCAGAAGUUCUAAGAGACAAAGCAUGGAGUUGUUGACAGAAUGGCCUUGCCCCUCUGGAAAGUUGUGUUGAGAGAGGAAGGAAUGAAGCAGAUGUGGAAGGGGGAAUAGAGCCUAGAGGAAAAGAAGGCAGCCUGCAGUGCUCAAGGGCCUGGCUGCGUGUGGCCACCUGGUCUUGUGAUAGUCAAGGACAAGUUCAUACUGCCUUUGAGCAUGAGAAGGCAGCCCAGCACCCUUGUGUAUGAGUCUCUCAGGGCAGCUGUCACAAAGUACUACAAACUGGGUGCCUUAAGACAGCAGAAACGCAUUCUUUCGCAGCUCUGAAUGCUGGAAGCCCAAGAUCAAGGUGUCAGCAGGACUGAUUCCUUCUGAGGGCUCUGAGGGAGAUAAUCUGUCCCAUCCGUGCCUCUCCUCGCUUCUGGUGAGGGCUGGCAAUUGCUGGCAUUCCUUGACUUGUAGAUGCAGAACUCCAAUCGCUGCCUCUGUUGCAAUGUGGCAUCCUCCCAGCAUCUUUUCGCAUUGUCUUUCCUCUACAUAUGUGGGUAUCUGUG
rnacentral:lncRNA from 10 species